rnacentral:rRNA from 1 species
AGUGAACGCUGGCGGUAGGCCUAACACAUGCAAGUCGAACGGCAGCACAGUAAGAGCUUGCUCUUACGGGUGGCGAGUGGCGGACGGGUGAGGAAUACAUCGGAACCUACUUUUUCGUGGGGGAUAACGUAGGGAAACUUACGCUAAUACCGCAUACGACCUACGGGUGAAAGCAGGGGAUCUUCGGACCUUGCGGGAUUGAAUGAGCCGAUGUCGGAUUAGCUAGUUGGCGGGGUAAAGGCCUACCAAGGCGCGGAUCGGUAGCUGGUCUGAGAGGAUGGUCGCCGGCACUGGAAGUGGGACACGGUCCAGGCUCCUACGGGAGGCACCAGUGUGGAAUAUGGGACAGUAGGCGCAAGCCUGAUCCAACGAUACCACGUGUGUGGAAGAGGCCUUGGGGUUGUAAAGCCCUUUUGUUGGGAGAGAAAAGCAGCAGGUUGAUACCCCGCUGUUCUGACGGUACCCAGAGAAUAAGCACCGGCUAACUUCGUG